GAAAUAAAUAGGUCUACUCUAGGGUUGCAUUACAUCACUUAGAAGAAUAGUGGUUUUCAGGUAUUUAAUGUAUUCCCCAGAGCCGAGGGGACGGCGAUCGUGCAGGCAAGGUAGCCCGUCAUGAGAAGAAGGAGGCUUUGGUCCUCUUCACGCCAGCCACGCGUCAAGGGCCUGCCUUCCCUUGCUCGCGCUUAUGUUCCGCUGCGGGUCCCCACUCCUGCCUGUUCUUUCUCAUAAAAACCAGGAGCUGAAAGGGACCUCAAAGAUCAUUUUUAAGUUUGAUGGAUGGGGAAACUGAGGCCUGGAGAGGUCAUGCAACCUGCUCGAAGUCACACAGCUGUUUAAGGGAGGCUGGACCUGAGCUCCAGGGCUUUGAACUCAUCUAUCUGGCUUGAAAAGGGGCAGUGGCAGUAGAAAUGUUAGAUCCCAUAUUGUAUUUUAUAACAGCAAGAGUUUCCUUUAAGAUUUUUCUCCCUUGCUUUAAAAAUGUGUGUGUGUGUGUGUGUGUGUGUGUGUGUGUGUGUGUGUGUUUUAACUUUCCCAGUUCUCCCAUUUCUUACAUGGAAGACUAAUCUGACAUCUUGUGCAGAGAAUUGACUGUUUCCUGCAAAAUAAACAGAGGAAAGCAAGUAGCUGAAGUAUUUAGGGACACUCAAGGGUCCUUAGUGCUCGAAGCUUCCAACAGCUCAGUAACCGCGCUUGUCCUGAUUGGCAAGGGAGAGGAAGAGACGAGAAGAAGCCGUGUUCAGAGGCCUGGGCAUGGUCGGAGGAGCAGUGUUGCAGUGAGUGAGUGAUAGGUCUAUUUUUUCAGAAAAUACAAAAAUGCAGAAUCACCAUCCCUAAGCUCAGAGAACCUGGCAGUCAACAAGACUUAUUUCUAAGGCUCCAAGUAAAAUGUCAACAAGGCAUUUCGUGUCACCUCGGAGAUCCCAGAGGACAAGCCAUGCAUCUCUUACGCUCCACAGCAACCCACGGGGACUUGGGCUGCAGUCUCUUGGUGGGAAGAUGUAGCCCAGUGCAGGAAUGCCGGUGUGUAUAUGCCUGCUUUGAGGAAGCAGGAGUCGCGAAGGAAAUCGCGGGGUGGGGGGUGGCAGGACCUCAGGAUACCGGAGGGGUGACCUCAGCUUGUAAAUGUCUAGAUGUUGGGGGCCCAUGUGUAGGAAGUUUAAAAAGACUGAACCAGACACAAUAGAGGUGCUGCAGUCUAACUUUGCCUUUGACCCUAUCGCCUUUCCGUUUUCACUUUCCCCCUUCUUACUACCCUUCUCACCCCCCAAACCCUAACCUUGCCUUUGACCCUAUCGCCUUUCCGUUUUCACUUUCCCCCUUCUUACCCCCCAAACCCUAACUAACCCAUGAUUGCAAAGCUUGUGAAAACAUCUAUGAAGAGCACCAUUCAGACAGGAUCGGGAUCGUACCAGUGAUCCUGAGCCACACUCCAGUUGUGAGUUUCAGAGGCGUUAAAGAUGACAACUGCUGCCUGAGCAAGGCACAGAGACACAUGUUCCUCCUCGCCCCGUCAGACUCCAAUCCUGCUGCUUUCCACCCAGAGAUAGCCUUGUCUUCAGACGCGUAUUGAUGCGCAUGGGGGUGCUCCUGGGAAAGACACAUCUCAGGACACUGAGUGGAGUGUUACGAUGAGGCGGCGUUAGAAAGUGAGAAAGACAGGAGGCGUGAUCCAGGGCCAGGAGAAGAAGCCAAGGGGAGCUGGAUACGAACAUCUAUGAUUCAGAGAGUGUGGUCAUGUUCAGAGUCAGCCAACGAGGUGAAAGACACAGCACGGAAAAUUCCUGCCAAGCCUGCCAAGCAUUUAUGACACCAGCCUCAAGUUGGGGGGCCCGCGGCUACCCCUCACUUCAGACCGGCUGGCUACAAAUUUGGGGGUCCCCACAGAAUCCCCGAGGUUUGUUAAUUCACGAGGACUACCCACAGAAUUCAGGGAAGUGCUAUGCUUAUAAGUGUAGUAUUAUUAUCGCAAAAGGAUACAAAUCAUUACCAGUUGAAAGAAUAGUUGCCCAUUCAGAACCCGGGACUGGGAAGGUUCCGAAUGUGAAGCUUCCGCAUCCUCAGGGACACGGCGUCUUCCUGGCAUCAAUGUGUGGCGAUAUGCAAAGAACUGUCAACCCAGGAAGCUCA